rnacentral:rRNA from 1 species
GACGAACGCUGGCGGCGUGCUUAACACAUGCAAGUCGAACGGAAAGGCCCUGCUUUUGUGGGGUGCUCGAGUGGCGAACGGGUGAGUAACACGUGAGUAACCUGCCCUUGACUGUGGGAUAACUUCAGGAAACUGGGGCUAAUACCGGAUAGGAGCUCCUGCUGCAUGGUGGGGGUUGGAAAGUUUCGGCGGUGGGGGAUGGACUCGCGGCUUAUCAGCUUGUUGGUGGGGUAGUGGCUUACCAAGGCUUUGACGGGUAGCCGGCCUGAGAGGGUGACCGGCCACAUUGGGACUGAGAUACGGCCCAGACGCCUACGGGAGGCAGCAGUGGGGAAUAUUGCACAAUGGGCGGAAGCCUGAUGCAGCAACGCCGCGUGCGGGAUGACGGCCUUCGGGUUGUAAACCGCUUUCGCCUGUGACGAAGCGUGAGUGACGGUAAUGGGUAAAGAAGCACCGGCUAACUACGUG